rnacentral:misc_RNA from 1 species
CGCACAUUGCGCCCGCCAGCAUUCUGGCGGGCAUGCCUGUUCGAGCGUCAUUUCAACCCUCGACGCCCCCUUGGGGGCAUCGGCGUUGGGGACCAGCAGCAUACCGCUGGCCCCGAAAUGGAGUGGCGGCCCGUCCGCGGCGACCUCUGCGUAGUAGUCCAACCUCGCACCGGAACCCCGACGUGGCCACGCCGUAAAACACCCCACUUUCUGAACGUUGACCUCGGAUCAGGUAGGAAUACCCGCUGAACUUAA